UUUAUCACUCACAUCGAAAGACAUUCUUUGUGCCUAAAGGUUAGUAGUAAUAGACCGGUUAGUCAGAUGCACUCUUUCUCCUAGUGGUAAAAAAAUAAAUACGAUACUCUGGAUAACCUCCCGGGUGAAGUGCUCACCGAUAUCCGUGCGCUUGCGGAUCAAUUCCUUAUUGCGUUCCCAAAUAUCAACAAUGGGUAAAUAACACAGCGAUUAGAAAAUAGACUACUCCUCAUAUAUGUAAGGUGACGUCGGAUUAGCUAGAGAAUGGAUUCUAAAUUAUCUACUAUCUACUAAGUCACAAUCUACUCUAGUUAUCUACA
rnacentral:lncRNA from 1 species